GGCCGGUGAUUGAGAAAGAUCCGAGAUUUCCGGAAGGCAUCAAUGUGGAAUUCGUUGAAACCGUGAAUGAACAAGAAUUGCAUUU
rnacentral:tRNA from 1 species